UACGUAGGGUGCGAGCGUUAAUCGGAAUUACUGGGCGUAAAGCGUGCGCAGGCGGUUUUGUAAGACAGAGGUGAAAUCCCCGGGCUCAACCUGGGAACUGCCUUUGUGACUGCAAGGCUUGAGUGCGGCAGAGGGGGAUGGAAUUCCUGGUGUAGCGGUGAAAUGCGUAGAUAUGCGGAGGAACACCGAUGGCGAAGGCAAUCCCCUGGGCCUGCACUGACGCUCAUGCACGAAAGCGUGGGGAGCAAACAGG
rnacentral:rRNA from 1 species